rnacentral:rRNA from 1 species
UACGGGGGGGGGUAAGCGUUGUUCGGAAUUACUGGGCGUAAAGGGCUCGUAGGCGCCAACUAAGUCGGACGUGAAAUCCCUCAGCUUAACUGGGGAACUGCGUCCGAUACUGGAUGGCUUGGAUUUGGGAGAGGGAUGCGGAAUUCCAGGUGUAGCGGUGAAAUGCGUAGAUAUCUGGAGGAAUACCGGUGGCGAAGGCGGCAUCCUGGACCGACAUUGACGCUGAUGAGCGAAAGCUAGGGGAGCAAACGGG